GAGCGGAGGGCCCCUCUGGACAACUCUGUGGAAACCAUACCGCGGAGAAAACCUCCAUCUGCUGUGACCACAAAACCCUUUGUGAAAAUUUCUGUCGCAGCGGGAGGCAGAAAGCGGCGCCUCGCUCCUCGCCGCCGUGGCCGUAGCCGUUGAGCUGUCAUCUGCCCGUCAGCCAGGGCCGCGCUGACCUGCUGCACAUGAAUCCGCGAGAGGCGUGGACGUCCAAUUCCUCGUCUCCAGCUGGAGGCUUCGGAGGGCGACGGCAGGCCUCCUGAGAUCUGAGCGCCCUGUCCAAACACUCGCACGUGUUGCUGGGACGGAGCCGCAAAUGGGAGCGCUCCAACAUUCUUUGCAGGGCAAA
rnacentral:lncRNA from 1 species